CAAAAAAAAACCAUUCUAAAAAGUCUCGUAUCUUUACAGCAAAAUAUUAAUUGGGGUAAAUUAAAUAUUUAUAGCUACCACUAUGGAAUUCAAGCAAGAUCUGCUUUCAUACUUUUCAUCGUAAACAGUGAAACAAAACUCCUUUUUCUUGAUCUUCUCUGCUUUCACGAGAUCCAAUCCUAUCCCGUGGGUAAAUCCACCCAUCAUCUUUCCUCCUACAAACUCACACAGUCUGUUUUCUAUUCUAAACCCUACCUACCCUACAAAUUUAAAGAAUAGGAAGGGGUGGAAAAUGGCAUCGUCAUCUAAUUCCCCAUGUGCUGCAUGCAAGUUCCUGCGUAGGAAAUGCCAACCAGAAUGCGUGUUCGCACCGUACUUCCCACCAGACCAGCCCCAGAAGUUCGCAAAUGUUCACAAAGUGUUCGGAGCAAGCAACGUUACCAAACUUCUCAACGAGUUGCACCCCCACCAGCGUGAAGACGCCGUCAAUUCCUUGGCCUACGAGGCCGAUAUGCGCCUCCGUGACCCUGUCUACGGCUGCGUUGGAGUCAUCUCUCUCCUCCAACACCAACUCCGCCAGCUCCAAAUGGACCUUAGCUGCGCCAAAUCCGAACUCUCCAAGUAUCAGAACCUCGGCGGCAUCACCAGCCAUGGCCUCAUCGCAGCAGCAGCAGCGGCUGCCACACACAAUCACAACCAGAACCACCUCGGCAGCAUCAAUCUGAUUUCAUCGGGUAGCGGUGCCGGCGGUGGUGGUGGACGGGAUCACCACUACCACCAUCAUCAUCAGUUUUUCCCUAGGGAUCAUCAUUAUCAGCAUCAGCAGCAGCAGAUGAUCGCCACCGCUGGAACCAACUACGAUGCCAGCCUUUUGGCCAUGAACGUCUCUGCAACGGCAAGCAUCGGACAGCUGAGUCAGUUCCAGCAACGUAGCGCUGCUGGAGGGAAUGAUCGCCGCACUACCAUCGAUCCCUCUUAGGAUUUCCUUCCGCCUCGAUUUCAGAUAAUUAACCUAAAACCUUUCCAUAGGGUUUCAAGGAUAAACAAUUCAUAUCAGGGAAAGUAAAAAGAGUAAUCAGAAUCAGACACACAGAGAGAAAGAGAAAGAAAGAGAGAGAGAGAGAGAGAGAGAGAGAGAGAGAGUGAGAGAGACAGGGAGGGAGAGAGGGAGAGAUCAGGGUCUGGCCUUUCUUUUUAAAUUUGAAUUUGAUACAGUUCCAUAGACUUUUUUGUUAUAUUAUUUGACAUGUCCAAGUAUUCUGGUAAUUUUAUACACACACAUACAUGGUGUAUAUAUAUAUAUAUACACAUCCCUCCCCCUGCCC